CAGCAGCCGCGGUAAUACGUAGGGUGCGAGCGUUAAUCGGAAUUACUGGGCGUAAAGCGUGCGCAGGCGGUUCGUUAAGUCUGCUGUGAAAUCCCCGGGCUCAACCUGGGAAUGGCAGUGGAUACUGGCAAGCUAGAGUGUGUCAGAGGAUGGUGGAAUUCCCGGUGUAGCGGUGAAAUGCGUAGAGAUCGGGAGGAACAUCAGUGGCGAAGGCGGCCAUCUGGGACAACACUGACGCUGAGGCACGAAAGCGUGGGGAGCAAACAGGAUUAGAUACCCGUGUAGUCCCUGUCUCUUAUAC
rnacentral:rRNA from 1 species